rnacentral:rRNA from 1 species
GACGAACGCUGGCGGCGUGCCUAAUACAUGCAAGUCGAACGCUUCUUUCCUCCCGAGUGCUUGCACUCAAUUGGAAAGAGGAGUGGCGGACGGGUGAGUAACACGUGGGUAACCUACCCAUCAGAGGGGGAUAACACUUGGAAACAGGUGCUAAUACCGCAUAACAGUUUAUGCCGCAUGGCAUAAGAGUGAAAGGCGCUUUCGGGUGUCGCUGACGGAUGGACCCGCGGUGCAUUAGCUAGUUGGUGAGGUAACGGCUCACCAAGGCCACGAUGCAUAGCCGACCUGAGAGGGUGAUCGGCCACACUGGGACUGAGACACGGCCCAGACUCCUACGGGAGGCAGCAGUAGGGAAUCUUCGGCAAUGGACGAAAGUCUGACCGAGCAACGCCGCGUGAGUGAAGAAGGUUUUCGGAUCGUAAAACUCUGUUGUUAGAGAAGAACAAGGACGUUAGUAA